rnacentral:lncRNA from 1 species
AGACACUCUUGGCAAUGUCCCAGGGCCUGUUUCCAGUGUAAAAGCGUUUCUUGCAGUCUGUGUUCACGGAACAAAUCUCAUAAAUGAUCUUAAAACAACAGAAGGGUUAAUUCACUAGAAGAGACACAAAAUCAAUCCAUCCCCAUCAACACUAGCAGCCCCACAUUAUCCCCAAAGCAGCACCCUGCUGGCCCUGAAGGGACACCCCGCUCUCUGCUCGGAUGGAGGGAGUGAUAGUGGAAUUUGGAGGAGUCCUGAGCGUCCGGGAGAAACGGAGGCGGGUCCAAGAGAGACUCGUUCACCGAAAAUAAACCUGCACGAGGGGGGAAAUGACUUCGAGGGAGGAGAAAGCAGAAGAGAAGGGGGAAACAUACGGGAGAGCGGAGAGAGAGAGAGAGAAGGGGGAGUGCCUGCGUUCGCAGCGGAUUAAAAACUGCGCAUCUCCUGCUCACAUCAAACUCGUGAGUGGACACGAGGGGCUCGCGCCGUGGCACCACAUCCUCGCCUGGCCGAGACCGCAUCAUCAUAUUUGCAGACCACAGAGAAGUCGGGAGAUGCGCGCGUGCAUUUUUUUGGGGGAGAAGACUCUGGAACAAUUUUGCGCGCUGAUGUUUGUGUCACAUCAUCUCCUCUUACAAUGGCUUCAUAACGCAGCUGCGCCGACAUUUUACAGCGUGCGAUUCAAAUGUGCUCGUCAUGUGUGACAUGAUGAAGGUGCUGGAGGAUCGCGCGCUGCGACGUUCAUUCACCGCGCGAGGAAAGAGAAACUACGCAGUUGCUUAUUUAGCUCGCAUUUUUACCAUGAGGACAUGCGAGGAGAAGAAGCCACCUCCCAGUUUGACCCUCCGCGCAUUAGCAGAGUUUGAGAUGUGGUUGGCCAGCAUGAGAAUCUCUCUGGAGGAGUCUGUAAACCGCAGGUCCAGUGAAACGGCCACAGGACCUUCUGUCAUCCACCGGAGGAGGAGGAUCCAGACGCAGGUGGCUGGAUGUUACCUGUGCCCGAGUGGAUGGACAGGACCGAGCAGGUUUUCCAUCCAGCCUUCCUUUUUCGGGUCUCGCAGUGGAACGUUUUCUGCUGCACGUGGAUAUCCUCAUCUGUUGUCCCCAUUCAGGGUGCGAGUGUGUGCUUGAGGCUGAUUCGAGGUGACACCGUAGGAAAAAAGUUACAGCACACAACAGCGGUUUCUUUAUUUUCUAUCUCCCACGCAUUGAACACCAUACAUAUGCGUAUCUCACAUAUUCACACAAAUUUCACUAGUGAUGCAUCCAAAUAAAAUCAUGCAUAAACACCUCUAGCUUUCAGCUGGAUUCACUAAUCCAAUCACAGAAAUUAUUUUCAAAUUAGCGGUAAAUUGAUAAUUUCUGACAUUUUCACUGACCAGUCACAGCCGCCAGCUAUGUAGGUUUUUGCAUUAUCUAGAGUGCAUGAUGGGCAAUAUAAUGCCAGUGUACACUACCACCGUUCAAAGGUUUGGGGUCAACAAGUAUGCAUGACUGUUUUCAACACUGAUACAAAAAAAGCACCAAAUCUGCAUAUUAGAUCUAUUUCUUACACCGUGACACUGAAGACUGAAGUAAUGGAUGCUGAAAAUUCAGCUUUGCCAUCACAGAAAUAAAUUACAUUAGAAAACAGUCAUUUUAAAUAGUAAUAUUUCAUGAUAUUUUUAUGAUAAUUAAGAAAAAAUCGCUGAAUAAAUGAAAUUAAUAUUUAUGUAGAAUAACGUUAAUCAAGUUGAGACUUAACCUAAGAUAUAACUAGGCUCUUCUGGUUCCUGUUGAGUCAUCUUGGUAAUUUGGUCAGAUAAAUAAAUUGUGAAAACAUAAUAAGAAUAAUCUAAUCUGUAUGAACCAGAAUAUAGGUCACUAAUAAAGUUGUGACACUAAUCGGCCAAAUAAGAGAAGUAACUGCAGAUAAUUUCAAGAAAUUCCACCAAUACUGACUGACCUACUGACCUCCUUGACGUGUAGUUCAUUCAGACAAAACCUGUAGACUUUUUCUCUCUGAUUUCUGGUGGAAGCAUUGAAUACGUUGCACACUUAAAAUAUUUAAUAAACAAGCAUGCAAGGAAAGUGUAUAACAUCUGUGAUGCAUUUAAUGGAUUUCUGCAGGUGCCGGUGCAUGAUGCUCUCUGAUUCUGAGAUCACACAGAAAUACUGGAAGGGAAUGAGAGAAUGAAAUAAAGUAAAAGAAUCCCUUCCGCUCUCCAGUCCUUUCUAUCUGACACACAGGGAGGGAGAGGACGAGGCUAAAAGAGAGAGAGAGAGAGGUGACGAGGGGGACGGGGGGAGGGCUCGUUAGGUUAGGACGNNNNNNNNNNNNNNNNNNNNNNNNNNNNNNNNNNNNNNNNNNNNNNNNNNNNNNNNNNNNNNNNNNNNNNNNNNNNNNNGUGUGUGUGUGUGUGUGUGAGAGAGAGAGAGAGAGAGAGAGAGAGAGAGAGGGGAGAAAUAUUGAGGGAGGAAAGCAGAGAGAGAAGGAGAACGAGGGAGACACUCUUUUUUUUUUUCUUUGGCUAAAAUAGAAGGAAUUCUGUUUUGUUUGGAGCUGGAAACCUGCAUCCUCUUGACUGUGCCUGAUUUUGCAUGGUGUGUUUUUUCGUUUGCAAGCCCUGCUGCCGGUGUGUGUGUGUGUGUGUGUGUGUGUGUGUGCUGCAGCUGGUUAAAGGGAAAAUAAGAGCCCGAGAUUUACCGAACAGACUGAACGAGCAGCUCUCAGUGUGGAAUAACCUCAGAAACACAGGGAAUAACACUGGGAAACACGGUAAGACACGCACGCUCCCUCUAUCCACCGCUGCUGCUCUGUUUCUUUGUGCUUCCAGCAGGGCAUUUAAACUGAACUCGUGAAAGUAUCCGGGCUGCGUUUGGACAGCUCAGCAGAAUAAAAACACAACACACAAGGCGGAGAGCGAGAGAAAGUUGCACUGCUUUUUCUAAUUGGAAUGCCGCACAAAGAAAGCUUGUUGUAUGCACUCAGCCAAGCUGGCUCUGUUUAUAAUCUGAUUGUCACUCACACUCUCUACUGCAAAGACUAGAAAAGAUAAAACAGAAAUGCUCUGCACUUUUCCGGUGUCUGCUUCCCACACAUCCAUAUGGAAAAGCAGGAUGUAUACAUGAUUGUUCCUGACAAGAUUCCUGUUCUGUUAGCGACUCUUUGUUAAGUGGGGUGAGUUUGUGUAAUUGUUUUGCAGGUGUGUGUGUGUGUGUGUGCUGUCCGUUGGGUACAUAGGAAGUGGUGGUUAUGGAUUGUGUUAGUUGAGAACUAGAGUAAAACCCCGGCGGCGUUGAGUGUGUGAACCUCCACUUCCUCUUGGCCGUGUGUCCGUCUCACACAACCCACAUCCAUUACCGGCAUCCUGGAGUGUUUCGAUCAAUCAAGAGUCAUUGUGCGGAUGUGUGUGUGUGUGUGACGUUGCUGGGCGUGUAUCAAUUGGCUCCGCCCUUCAAUUAAAGCUCUCCACUAAGAUAAAGAAACACAAAACAUUGCCGGAAGAGCACACUUUCAUCAUUGUCAUCAGGUGAUGUGUAAAACAAUACGCCGGCCUUAUCUGUCAGUAUUCGGUUUCUCCAAUCCUCAAUAGCUCUCCACAUCUCUCGUUCUCAUUCUCUCUUAUCUUCUUCCUCGCCCCAUCCAUCGGCGAAAGGCAAAUUUCGACUGUCUCCUCUGAAACGAAUUUGAUGUAGUGUUGCCAGUGCCUGUUUUCAUCAGAGCGUGUGCGUGUCGCCCUCAGGCCGCUUUUGCUUUUAGCCUACAUUCCUGUUUGAGCUUCACUAGCUGCUGUUUAAGCUGAGCGCAAUCCAGCUCUGUUAGCAUUAGCAGCAUGAGGACUAUUAUUACCCAUAAUGCCAUGGUGAUUAGCAGUGUGCUAAUCUAUUCAUUAGCUGCUAAUCUAAUUGUCAGCACUGGUAAUGACUGGGCUGUUUGUGUAUUUCUGAAGUAGUUUUGUAUAGUCGUUUAUGUCAAAAUACCAGUGAGUCCUAGAUAACACAGUGUCGUACAAAAAAAAAAAGGGAAUUAAAAUAAUGACCAGUAUUUUUUUCUGACAGUUCUUAUGUGAUUUGAAAUUUCAUUUUGUUGUUUACAGUAGUGAAAAUAUGUAAUUGCUAAGGUUAUUUUGGCAUAAAAUAUGCUCUUGUAUUACUAUGUAU